UUUAUGUGGUAAUUAGACCAUUAGUUAGUUGAUGGACAAAAAUAGACAUAAGAAAUGAGAGAAAUAGAUUUUUUUUAAGUGGGGGCAUAUUAGUCAUUUGGUAAUAAAAAAAAUAAAAUGGGAAAAAGAUGACAAAAAUCAUCAUCUUCCUCAUUAGUUGCUGCCGAAAUUUGAAGGAAGCCAUAGCUAAGGUUUCUUUGCUUUCUCAAGCUCAUAAUCAAGAAAGACGUGAAGAUUAUCUCAAACGAGGAAAAGAAAAGAUAGUGGAGUGAAGUGCAAAAUUACGAUAUUUUGCACCGAGGUAAGUAAACACGUGACUUGAUGUAUUAUUUUGACAUUAAUUGAUAUAUGUUGAGAUUUAUUUGGAAUUAAAAUAAAUGUUUGGCCAUAUCCUAAAAAUGUUGUUAAAUCGGGAAAGGUGGUAAAGGGUUGCAAUAUAUGAUUUAUGGGUUGAACACUCGGAAUAAGCCGAAGUAUGUUGUACAUAAAGGGGUUGCUGUGUGCUGAUUCCCCGAUUCAUUGGUGGUGCUAUGUGCGAUAUCCACCGUAUCUUUGAAAUGUGAAAGGGGGUUGCUAUGUGCUGAUUCCCCCGAGGGGUUGCUAAGUGCUGAUUCCCCAGUUCAUUGGUGGUGCUAAGUGCGAUAUCCACCGUAUCUCUGAAAUAAAAAGGGGGUUGCUAUGUGCUGAUUCCCCCAAGGGGUUGCUAAGUGCUGAUUCCCCGAUUAAGUGGUGGUGCUAAGUGCGAGAUCCACCAAUAACGGUUAACAUUCCGAGUGCUCAACGAAAAAGUGUGGAAGGUGAAUAUUGCCAUAUGGUGGAAAUUUUUAUGGGGCAAAUAUUGAGUUGGAUACUAAAUCGAUCCAUGUAUGAGAUGGGAGAAAAUAUCAAAAACGAAAAAAAGAACGAUUUAGUUAUAAACUGUGUUGAACAACAGCAGAUGGGUAACUUUGAAAAAUCACCAUAAAUGGUGAAAAAUGAAUGGGAAGCUGAAUAAUAUAUGAAAUUGAAGCUGAAUGUGUCUAUUUUCAUAUGAAAUAAAUAGAAUAAGCAAAAGAGUUGUAUUUUUGGAGAUAUCUGAAUUUUACUGAAACAGGGCUGGAUUGAUUUCGGGAUCCCCUGUUCUAACUUUGGAAAAUCACCAAAAAUUGUACAAAAAUAAUUAUGGUGUGAAAUUUAUAUUCCUGGAUUCCUUAUUGACUCUAUUUUUAAUAGAAACAAGCGAAACCAUUUUUAAAAUUUUGUACAGAGAGUUAAGUGAAUUUUUUUGAGGAAGGGUCAGAACCGUUGGGCAGUGAAACAGGGGAAGUUUUAAUGAAUAAACUGUACUAAUUGGCUGGGUAAAAAAUUCUGAAAUUUUUAUGGUGAAAUGGUAUAUGAGUCUAGUUUCAGGGAAAAUUUACGAAACUCAAUUUGGAGCCCUGUAGCUCCGGAUAAAAAUAAAUUAGCGACUAUGAUGCAGAAAAACAGUUUGCUGGAAAUUGCCUAAACAAUGAAGUUAUUCAUGAAUAAGUUUAUAUUUUGGUGUAGUUAUGUGAGUAAUUACUUAUUUAUCAUGUGUUUACUUACUAAGCUAUAUGCUUACUCGAUUUUAUUUUUCCCUUGAUUAUAGUGACUUCCGACAACUCGGAAAUUUGGAACGAAGUCAGACAAUCAUCCAC
rnacentral:lncRNA from 1 species